rnacentral:rRNA from 1 species
AGCGAACGCUGGCGGCAGGCUUAACACAUGCAAGUCGAACGAUCCUUCGGGAUAGUGGCGGACGGGUGAGUAACACGUGGGAACGUGCCUUUAGGUUCGGAACAACACAGGGAAACUUGUGCUAAUACCGGAUAAGCCCUUCGGGGAAAGAUUUAUCGCCUUUAGAGCGGCCCGCGUCUGAUUAGCUUGUUGGUGGGGUAAAGGCCUACCAAGGCGACGAUCAGUAGCUGGUCUGAGAGGAUGGCCAGCCACAUUGGGACUGAGACACGGCCCAAACUCCUACGGGAGGCAGCAGUGGGGAAUAUUGGACAAUGGGCGCAAGCCUGAUCCAGCCAUGCCGCGUGAGUGAUGAAGGCCCUA